UGGCCCAAAGGGGUAGGGCGCCAGCCCCAUAUGCUGGAGGUGGUGGGUUCAAACCCAC
rnacentral:tRNA from 1 species